rnacentral:lncRNA from 1 species
UGUUUGCGUGAUUUGUUUGACAGUUGUUGAAAAUCAAAUCAGAUUUAAAUGGAGAUUAAAUUUAAAUUUGAAUUAAUAACAAAUCAUAUCUUUUGUUACAGAUAUUUAUGUAGCAGAUCAAAUCCAACAACAUUCUGCUACUAUUCUUGGCGAAAUCAAAUGUUAAAUCCAAGGGAGAAAAGCCCAAAAGACAUUGCUAUUUAAGGAGACCCAAACUCACUUUUGAGCCAUGCAAUUUUUGAAGAUACCUAGUGUUAG